AAUAAAAGUGUCAGUGGUCAUGUCUACAUGUUCUUUAAUGUGCCUUAGUUACUGCACAUUUAGUUUUGUACUUGCUCAGUGAAGUACUAACUGAAUACUCAAUAAUUAGAGUUACUCCACAGUAGCGCCAGCACGCAGUUAUUCUAUGAUGCUUAUUGCACAUUAGCUUAAUAACACCGUACAGUAGGCUGUUAGCAUAGUUUUUAUCCACCGCGCUGCUGCAUUAUUAGACUAAUGCACAGUAAGUGUCUCACGUAGAUGCUCCCAGCAAGUCUCCCAGAAGCUAAAGCUGAGAUGAUGCCCUUCUGCAUCACUUCCAGCAUGGGAACCUCACCUUUUGCUUAGGGGUGAAAGCUGCUAGGAUUAACUUGCAUUCUUUCAUACAGGCCAUUGUUCUGAAUGAUACAGUUAGGAUUAGAAAAAUCAUUCAGGGAUAUUUAAAAGGGGAAUUAUCUGCAUUUAGUUGCUUGGAAAGUACCAGUCACUGGAAGUCCUCCAAGAAUUCUUUUUACAAAGUAAAAUAUUUGGAAAGUACAUUUGCAAUCAAUUUAAAGGAAAGGCGCAUUCUGUGCUAAAACCACCAAUACCCAGGUUAAAGCACUCACUUUGACUAUUAUUUUCUAAAGUGAAGUGUUACAAGAUCCAAGCACAAUAUACUGUAGCUUGCAUAGCAGAGUUAAUAAACAGUAUAAGGUUACAGCACUGCAAGAUGAGAUUCUGUUUCUCUUUUUUAUUCUCCCUCAAAGUAGGGAGUGAAAAAAGGGCAAUACAGGAAUUAUGACACUAGAAGUUAUUGUUAAGUAUUUGAAAAACACAUCAGAGAUUAGAUUGAGUUUCCAAAAUUAGUGAACUAAUUUUCAGAAGUGUUGAACAUUGACGUCAGUGGUGGGUGCUUAAGCCAUUUUGAAAUUCAUCCUGCUUAUUUACAAGCUCAAGGGUGAUAUCUUUAAGUCAAAUUGAUUUAGAAUACACUCCAUUAAAAGCCAAUACAUUUGAGAUCUUAAAUCACUUAGGAAUUUACAAUAUCACUCUAAAUCAUGAACUAUAGCAGUUUAACUUUAGAUUUUUUGGGGCUCACUCAACCCAGUGGCCAGUUUUCAUAGAUUCAUAGGUUCAUAGAUGCUAGGGUCCGAAGGGACCUCAAUAGAUCAUCGAGUCCGACCCCCUGCAUAGGCAGGAAAGAGUGCUGGGUUCAGAUGACCCCAGCUAGAUGCAUAUCCAACCUCCUCUUGAAGACCCCCAGGGUAAGGGAGAGCACCACCUCCCUUGGGAACCUGUUCCAGACCUUGGCCACUCUAACUGUGAAGAAGUUCUUCCUAAUGUCCAGUCUAAAUCUGCUCUCUGCUAGCUUGUGGCCAUUAUUUCUUGUAACCCCCAGGGGCACCUUGGUGAAUAAAACCUCACCAAUUCCCUUCUGUGCCCCCGUGAUGAACUUAUAGGCAGACACAAGGUCGCCUCUCAACCUUCUCUUGCGGAGGCUGAAGAGGUCCAGGUGCCCCAGUCUCUCCUCGUAAGGCUUGGCCUUCAAGCCCUUAACCAUACGAGUGGCCCUUCUCUGGACCCUCUCCAGGUUAUCCGCAUCCCUCUUGAAGUGUGGCGCCCAAAACUGCACACAGUAUUCCAACUGCGGUCUGACCAGCACCCGAUAGAGGGGAAGUAUCACCUCCUUGGAUCUGUUCAUCAUGCAUCUGCUGAUGCACGAUAAAGUGCCAUUAGCUUUUCUGAUGGCUUCGUCACACUGCCGGCUCAUGUUCUUCUUGGAGCCCACUAGGACUCCAAGAUCCCUUUCCGCUUCCGUUCUACCAAGCAGGUAUUUUCCUAGGCAGUAGGUGUGCUGGACAUUUUUCCUCCCUAGGUGCAGCACUUUGCAUUUCUCCUUGUUGAAUUGCAUUCUGUUGUUUUCUGCCCACUUGUCCAACCUGUUCAGGUCUGCUUGCAGCUGUUCCCUGCCCUCCGGCGUGUCCACUUCUCCCCACAGUUUUGUGUCAUCCGCAAACUUGGACAGAGUGCACUUCACUCCCUCGUCCAAGUCUCUGAUGAAGAUAUUGAAGAGUAUCAGUCCAAGCACUGAGCCCUGCGGGACCCCACUGCCCACACCCUUCCAGGUCGAUACCGACCCAUCCGCUACGACUCUCUGGGUGCAACCCUCUAGCCAAUUCACCACCCACCGGACUGUGUAGUCAUCCAAGUCACAGCUUCUUAAUUUGUUCACCAGUAUGGUGUGGGAUACCGUAUCGAAGGCCUUCCUGAAGUUUAAGGAUACGACAUCAACCCCUACUCCUGUGUCUAGGCGUUUUGUAACCUGUCAUAAAAAGAGACUAGAUUAGUCAGGCAUGAUCUACCUGCUACGAACCUGUGCUGGUUUCCCCUCAGCAUAAUUUGUCCUGCUGGGCUUUCGCAAAUGUGAGCCUUUUCAUUGAAUUAGCUAUUGCUAAUGGCAGAGAAUGACACCAGCGUCUCAUUCAGUGGUUCCUCUGCAUGGAGAACAGUUUUAAAUGCAGCAAUAACUUUUUACCUGGUGCAACAAAAAGCAGAAAUGUGUACUGCUAUAGUUAUAAAUCCAGAAAAAAGUCUCUAAAUAUUUUAAAAGCAAGUAAAAUUAAUCAGAUUGUUUAUUCUAACCUUUCUUAUUUUACACAUGCUGCAUUGGAUAUAUCUGAAACAUAAGGCCUGAAAAUAAAGCAUGCCAGGCUUUGGCAGUGCUAAGCCUUGUGUUUUACAGCCUUCUAAAGUUAAGUGUGCUACAAUCAUGUGCCAAGUGAAGAGAAGAUAUUGCAUUGUUAUUUUUUUUUGCAUCUUUCAUAUGGCAAAAAGUAGAAAAAAUGAUUAUCCCUCCUUACAUUCUAUCACCCCUUAUAUCUCAGAGGGUCUCAAAAUGCUUAAAAGACUACACUUACGGGGAUGACCUCACUACCACUGAUAUGCGUUAAUCCCAGAAGUGCUAACACAGCACUUAUUAACUUCACCAGCCAUACCACAGUGUUUUUAGAGGGGAGGCAAGGAACAACACAUUCAGUUGAAAAUGUAGAGGAAUUUAGGUAAAGGCACCAGGGAAUGUAGCCAGAACACUGGGGCUAACACUCUUAUGUGCAUGUGAGGUCUUUUUAAUAACCACAAGCAGUUACUAGGACCUGGGUUUUACAUGUCACCACAUCCAGAAACACAGUGCCAUCCGGGUACUAGCUGACCCAGCUAUUCCCCUAUUCUCUAGAUACCGAUUCAGAAAGAGCACUGAGUAAUGAACACCACUGCACUUGGACCUUGCAUAGUGAGGGAACAUUUGGGGUGGUUUAGUCUGUAAGCUCAUUCAGUUCCCAAUGACAGUCAACAAGACUGAAAAUCAGCAUCAGUUUCAGCGGUGCGGUGCCAUGCAUCACACAGAAAAGGCAGUUAAUUGAAAUCUUCCAGGCUCCAUAGCAAUUGAGGUAAUAGCAGUCCUGUGUCUAGGUGGGUAACAUGCCUACACGGAGGUGACCUACUUUUAGUUGAUUCCGCUUCAUUUCUGUCCCUGGUCAUUUUCACUCCAAAUUUGUGUUGAGGACAUAGAACACCUACCGGAUCCUAGGCCUUUUCAAGUCCAGUCUGUUUGCGGGAAAAAGCCCCUUGCCAGCUGGCAUAAUUUGUCCUGAGACUUUAAACUCAGCACAUUUUUCAGAAUAGUUUUCCAAAAUGACACAGUAAGAAGUAUGAAAAAUAUAAUUUGCUUUGGCAGCACCUGGCACCACCAUGCAGUGCCACAGAGCCUACUCUGUUCUGUGCCAGCCUUCAAAUUCUUUUGUGCUAAGUCUGCUUUGUAAUCCUAGUGAGGCUGGGGCAGGCACAUCAACAGAAGCUGAGAGAGAGCGACAUGAAUCCUUCGGCCACACUGAAGGGGACAGCCACAGGAGUGCAAAAAGGACAUGUGUACAAGCUCCCCUCCUAGCGUUCCAGCUGCCCUUUAAAGAAUGCACUUGUUCUCAGCAGCCCUAGCAUGGCUGAUAUUCCAGGAAAGGGCUGUGUACAAGUGCACUGGGUCCUUGGAAGUCUUAGUAAGGUGGCAGCUGUAGAAGUCUACUCAUCUCACCUUCCAGUACAUUUGGCUUAACACCUUCUAAAAAUAUAUAUUUUGGGGGAAGGUGGGAUGAAUCUGUCACUUGGAAAGCUGAAUUGUAAAUGCUCUAGUUUCAAUUACAAAUAAGGCAGCUUUUGUAAGGAAAGGUGAACAUGUGACCUCCAUAAUGCUAAAAUAAAAUAAAAUAAACCACAGUUCUCUAGGGAUAAGGCAAGAAAACUGUUGGCGGUAUGGAGCCUUAUUAAGUGCAGAGGCAGGGUACAACAUAUGGCUGAUAGCUCAGAAAUGGCUUUGUGAUCAAUAAGCCACACAAAGGGCACUUGUAGACCAACAGCGAAGGGAAUAUUGGAAUUUAACUUGUUUGUUUUGCUCAGGGGAGUAUCCUUUCUCCGUGACACACUCAGCUCCAGACACUGCAGAGAACUCUUUCCAUGGGUGCAGGGAUUGAGGACCGGGUAAAGACCUAUUAAGGUUCUUGCUGCAUCUGAGCACAAUCUCUUGCUCCAGAAUCCCAGAGUUUCUAAAUUACCCUGUUCUAGGAGCUUACACGUUCUGAUCUGGAGAAUUGAAGAGAAUUGCACCUCUGUGGUUAGGGCUGCUCAAGGACAGACUGCAGAGCCCUAGCAGAGCACAGGGACUUAGUCUACAUCACGGUCUGCAAUGCACCUACCCAUAGCUAUACUUUCAGCUCUAUAGUGAUGCAGAGUAGAGCUCUCCCCCUAAACAAGGGGGACCUGGGAACAGCUGCUGAAGCCAGACCUCUUCCAAGCUAAGGAAAAUAAAAAGAUUCAGUAAAAACCACUGCUACCUCAACACUGGGCAAGAAGCAAGAAACAUCAAGAGAGUUGGAUACAAGACAAGAUGUCAUCAACCAAUCCUGAGCAUCCCCAAAUAGGAGUGGAUCCAGAGGGGAUACAGUGGUGUGGUUGCACCUUCCUUUCAGACCACGUCAUGGAAGCAGCAUCCAAGGACUUCUUUCAAGUCCCCAAAUUAGAAUUACUGCGGCAUAGGAGAUUCAAAUAUGCUGGCGGCAGAGCGGUUAAGAACAACAGCUAUGAAGCACUCGCUGGAAUUUGAGUCAGCAGCUAAUAAUACCGGGUUUGUAAUUCUGCUUUGUAAUAAAAGCAUUUUUAUAAUAAAAA